ensembl:lncRNA
GGACCCAUGGAGCCCAGACCCACAGAUCCUGGACCCACAGCCCCCAGACCCACGGAGCCCAGACCCAUGGAUCCUGGACCCACAGAUCCUGGACCCAUGGAGCCCAGACCCACGGAUCCUGGACCUACAGAUCCUGGACCCACAGCCCCCAGACCCACGGAGCCCGGACCCACGGACCCCAGACCCACAGAUCCCAGCCCCCCGGCCACGGGGCGCUGCUGCAGGAGAUGCCAAUGGAGCACAAAGCGGAGCACCAUUAAUUAAUGAUGGAGCUCGUUCAUUAGGAGCUGGGUUAAUUAAUGAAUGGGUGGGGUAUGGACCCAGUAUGGGCUCUCAUGGGGCCGGGAGGGAUGGAGAGGCUCGUUAAUUAAUAAUUAAUAAAUGAUGAGAAACGGAACCCAAGCGUCCACUCAUAGAGCCAGGAGGGACGGAGGAGCUCGUUAAUUAAUUAAUGAACGGGGUUUGGACCCAUAUGGGCUCUCAUGGGGCCAGAAGGGACAGAAGAGCUCGUUAAUUAAUUAAUGACUGAUGGGACAUGGUCCCAUGCAUGGAGGGGGGGUCCCAUGGACUGNAGCGCGGAGCCGCCGCUGCCAUGGCACAGAUGGCGGCCGAGGCACGGGACGUGAGCGCGGCCAUGGCGGGGACGGAAUGGGGGGCGCUGGGGGGCGGAGCCCGGACCCAUGGAGCCCAGACCCACGGAUCCUGGACACACGACCUCCAGACCCAUGGACUCCAGACCCGCAGCCCCCAGACCCACAGAUCCUGGACCCACGGAUCCUGACCCACGGAUCCUAGACCCACGACCUCCAGACCCAUGGCCUACAGAACCCAGACCCACAGAUCCUGGACCCAUGGAUCCUGACCCACGGAUCCUGACCCACGGAUCCUGGACCCAUGACCUCCAGACCCACGGACCCCAGACCCACAACCUUGAGACCCACAGAUCCUGGACCCACAACCUCCAGACCCAUGGAGCACAGACCCAUGGACUCCAGACCCACAACCUUGAGACCCACAGCUCCCGGACCCACGACCUCCAGACCCACAGAGCUCAGACCCACAACUUCGAGAGCCGCGGAUCCCAGACCCCAAACCUCCAGACCCACAGAUCCUGACCCUGCAGCAUUGGGGCACCUGGGGGCUAUGCUGGGAGCGGCACAGAGGAAGAUGCGGGGCAGGGGGGAGCGGGAACGGGAACGGGAUUGGGACUGGGAACGGGAAUGGGACCGGGAGCGGGAAUGGGAACGGGAGUGGGAAUGGGAACGGGAGCGGGAAUGGGACUGGGAAUGGGACCGGGAACGGGACCGGGAACGGGACCGGGAAUGGGAACGGGACUGGGAACGGGAAUGGGACCGGGAAUGGGAACGGGAACGGGAGCGGCUGGGCCGGGCGAGGAGGAAGUGCCGCUUCCUGCUGGCAUGGAGCCGGGAGCGCGGAGCCGCCGCUGCCAUGGCACAGAUGGCGGCCGAGGCACGGGACGUGAGCGCGGCCAUGGCGGGGACGGAAUGGGGGGCGCUGGGGGGCNCACGGAUCCUGACCCUGCAGCAUUGGGGCACCUGGGGGCCAUGCUGGGAGCGGCGAGGAGGAAGAUGCGGGGCGGGGGGGAGCGGGAAUGGGACCGGGAUUGGGAACGGGAAUGGGACCAGGACCAGGAAUGGGACCGGGAAUGGGAACGGGAAUGGGACCGGGAAUGGGAGCGGGAAUGGGACUGGGAAUGGGAACGGGAAUGGGAAUGGGACCGGGAACGGGACCGGGAUUGGGACCGGGAAUGGGAACGGGAUUGGGACCGGGACCAGGAAUGGGACCGGGAAUGGGAACGGGACUGGGACUGGGAAUGGAAAUGGGACCGGGAACGGGACCGGGAUUGGGACCGGGAAUGGGAACGGGAGCGGGACCAGGAACGGGAGCGGGACCGGGAAUGGGAUCGGGAGCGGCUGGACCCAUAGAUCCUAG